rfam:Izhakiella sp. D4N98 NODE_10_length_156406_cov_107.432_ID_3196, whole genome shotgun sequence.
UGGGUGCGCUGAAUUAGAGAUCGGCCGCCAUCAUUCACUUAUAACGGAGUUUACUAUGUCUCUAAGCGUAGAAGCUAAAGCUGAGAUCGUUGCUAAAUACGGUCGCGGCACC